CGGUCCGGGCGCGCCAGGCGAGCGCGGGCGCCUCCAGCGCGCCGAGGUCGCCGGCGGGUCCGGUGCCGGCCCAGACCGG
rnacentral:tRNA from 1 species